AAGGGUCAUGGUGUUAAUUCAGUGCCCCUCUCUCUUUAACCAUUUUGUGCAGGGCGGCCUGUGUUCCUCAUUGCCAUGCCCAGGUUAGCUCUUUCUUGGGUGCAAAUGCCUGUGCAUGCAAACCUGCAGAUAUAAAUGAAGGCCCUGGUCCUUCAAACUCAUGCCCAGUCAGAGCCCACAUAGGGGCCGGGGCCCACUGGACUGGGGCCUUAAAGGCCUUUCUUGAAACUAUGGCCCUACUUUUCUUUCAUUUCUGACACUAACUGGAUCCAUCAUGAACAGGGCUUGAUGAUGAUCGCAUGGUUUACAUUUGAGGACAGAAUGGGAUUUAAGAAACGACCGGAGAAUACAUGCUAAGAAGAAAUAAUUAUUCAAAGAUGAAGCAAAAUUCGGACUGGGUUGGUCUGGCUGGCUGGAACACAAGAAUUCCACUUUGUGAAAAAUGUCCAGGUUUGGGGAAUUGUUUUUGUUCCACAUUGGAACAAAACUGAGACCUUUUGAAAUCUGCCGUGAAAAAACACAAGCAAGACUGAGAGAGUUCGCUCCACCCCAGACUUGCCAAUUGGUUGGGCACUCCUCUGGGAUGUGAAAGAAUAAGGUGCAGCUUGUUGCUCUGCCUGAUUCAGAGCAGGAACUUGAAUCUGGAUCACAUCCAUCCCAGCUCUCCACCGAAUGGAAGUUUUCUGAAACCACUGGCCAGCUUCUCCUCCUCCCAGGCUUCCAUUCAAUCUUUCCAGUCUUCUUGCAGCAGCAUUGCUUCUUUCACCAGGAUGCAUGUUUUCACAGCUGAAACAACACAGGGCUAUUGUGAAGGUGCAAAGUGCUAAUUCAAUGUGGCUUUUCAUUCUGGAAACAGCAGAAGGCACUAGAUGAACUCCAGGCAAUGAAAUGUGUUUGAACUUGACAGCUCUUCUAUCCAGUACAGUGCUGUUUUUAUCACACGUGCUUGGUAUUGCAUAUUUCUACUGCAUGCCUGGAAAAAUACGGAUGACCUUUGAUGUCCAAGUGAAGAUCCUCAAAUUCCCAAGGACCUUAUGCAAACACUGGUGCUCUGGUGCACAGAAGAUGUGUCUGCUUUGUAUUUCAAAGGUAGCACAUU